CUUAAUCAGUGCUCAGUGAUGUAAAUAAAUCUGCCUCAAAUCCUGGGUGCUGUUUCAGUGUUUCUGUUUGCUGUUGCAUCUGGUGCCAGCCAGGAAGAUCAGCUGUGCUGACCUCUUUGGUCACUGACAGAGCAAGGAUCUCCCCAGGAAGGCACGCUUAUGAGAUUCCUUGUGUCCCUUCACAGGUCUGGAGGAGGAUUCUUGUCUUCCUGCUUGAGUGACUCACACUGGACCCCAAAUGGAGGAGGAUGCAGUAUGUGUCUGUCUGCCUACCUGCCUGCCUGACUCUGAAUAUUGUGGAACUUUAGAGCUAAACAUCUCUUCCUGCUUUCUUUGUGCCAACUUGGAAUUUGAUGAGCAUGAUGUGGCUGUAAGGGCAGCAGGUGACUGUUGGCCACAGUGGGGAAUAUGCAUUUAUCAGAAUGCCGACAACCAGUGAAAGACUGAAAAGACGCUAGAGGACGGCCAGCAAUGAAAUGAACGCAUCCUGGUUCUUUGGGUGAUUGCAAGGGACAGAGAUCCCUGCCAACUGCACUGGUGUUAAUGAGAACUCUUUAUUGUGUGUCCAGGCAUUGAGAUUUGGGGGUUCAUUUGCUAUUGUAGACUACCCUAGCCUAGUCUAUUUCAGUAGAAAACGUCUCACUAUAUAAUGUUAAAAUAAAAAGAAUGUUUAA